GCUGGCGUAGCUCAGUUGGUAGAGCGAGUGAUUUGUAAUCACUUAGUCGGGGGUUCAAGUCCUCUCGCCAGCU
rnacentral:tRNA from 1 species